UGGGGAAUUUUGGGCAAUGGGGGAAACCCUGACCCAGCAACGCCGCGUGAAGGAUGAAGUAUUUCGGUAUGUAAACUUCGAAAGAAUAGGAAGAAUAAAUGACGGUACUAUUUAUAAGGUCCGGCUAACUACGUGCCAGCAGCCGCGGUAAUACGUAGGGACCAAGCGUUGUUCGGAUUUACUGGGCGUAAAGGGCGCGUAGGCGGCAUGACAAGUCACUUGUGAAAUCUCUGGGCUUAACCCAGAACGGCCAAGUGAUACUGUCGCGCUAGAGUGCAGAAGGGGCAAUCGGAAUUCUUGGUGUAGCGGUGAAAUGCGUAGAUAUCAAGAGGAACACCUGAGGUGAAGACGGGUUGCUGGGCUGACACUGACGCUGAGGCGCGAAAGCCAGGGGAGCAAACGGGGAUUAGAUACCCUCGUAGUCCCUGAGCGGGCUGGCAAGGCGCAU
rnacentral:rRNA from 1 species